CUGUAGUCGAACGGUAACAGGAAGCAGCUUGCUGCUUUGCUGACGAGUGGCGGACGGGUGAGUAAUGUCUGGGAAACUGCCCGAUGGAGGGGGAUAACUACUGGAAACGGUAGCUAAUACCGCAUAACGUCGCAAGACCAAAGAGGGGGACCUUCGGGCCUCUUGCCAUCGGAUGUGCCCAGAUGGGAUUAGCUAGUAGGUGGGGUAACGGCUCACCUAGGCGACGAUCCCUAGCUGGUCUGAGAGGAUGACCAGCCACACUGGAACUGAGACACGGUCCAGACUCCUACGGGAGGCAGCAGUGGGGAAUAUUGCACAAUGGGCGCAAGCCUGAUGCAGCCAUGCCGCGUGUAUGAAGAAGGCCUUCGGGUUGUAAAGUACUUUCAGCGGGGAGGAAGGGAGUAAAGUUAAUACCUUUGCUCAUUGACGUUACCCGCAGAAGAAGCACCGGCUAACUCCGUGCCAGCAGCCGCCCUAAUACGGAGGGUGCAAGCGUUAAUCGGAAUUACUGGGCGUAAAGCGCACGCAGGCGGUUUGUUAAGUCAGAUGUGAAAUCCCCGGGCUCAACCUGGGAACUGCAUCUGAUACUGGCAAGCUUGAGUCUCGUAGAGGGGGGUAGAAUUCCAGGUGUAGCGGUGAAAUGCGUAGAGAUCUGGAGGAAUACCGGUGGCGAAGGCGGCCCCCUGGACGAAGACUGACGCUCAGGUGCGAAAGCGUGGGGAGCAAACAGGAUUAGAUACCCUGGUAGUCCACGCCGUAAACGAUGUCGACUUGGAGGUUGUGCCCUUGAGGCGUGGCUUCCGGAGCUAACGCGUUAAGUCGACCGCCUGGGGAGUACGGCCGCAAGGUUAAAACUCAAAUGAAUUGACGGGGGCCCGCACAAGCGGUGGAGCAUGUGGUUUAAUUCGAUGCAACGCGAAGAACCUUACCUGGUCUUGACAUCCACGGAAGUUUUCAGAGAUGAGAAUGUGCCUUCGGGAACCGUGAGACAGGUGCUGCAUGGCUGUCGUCAGCUCGUGUUGUGAAAUGUUGGGUUAAGUCCCGCAACGAGCGCAACCCUUAUCCUUUGUUGCCAGCGGUCCGGCCGGGAACUCAAAGGAGACUGCCAGUGAUAAACUGGAGGAAGGUGGGGAUGACGUCAAGUCAUCAUGGCCCUUACGACCAGGGCUACACACGUGCUACAAUGGCGCAUACAAAGAGAAGCGACCUCGCGAGAGCAAGCGGACCUCAUAAAGUGCGUCGUAGUCCGGAUUGGAGUCUGCAACUCGACUCCAUGAAGUCGGAAUCGCUAGUAAUCGUGGAUCAGAAUGCCACGGUGAAUACGUUCCCGGGCCUUGUACACACCGCCCGUCACACCAUGGGAGUGGGUUGCAAAAGAAGUAGGUAGCUUAACCUUCGGGAGGGCGCUUGGACU
rnacentral:rRNA from 1 species